AUUUUAUAUGAGAGUUUGAUCCUGGCUCAGGACGAACGCUGGCGGCGUGCCUAAUACAUGCAAGUCGAACGCACGAAGUUGAAGAGCUUGCUCUUUAACCAAGUGAGUGGCGGACGGGUGAGUA
rnacentral:rRNA from 1 species